GCUUCUUUGACGUUGGCAUACAGUAGAUCCAGGUAUUGUUUUCUCUGGUAGGACAGUUCACAAACUGUGUGAAUCCAGUCAGGUGAGAGGAGAGGGUGACAUGGUUGAAGUCUCCCGAUAUUAUUAUUAGUGCCUCAGGGUGUUGAGUCUGUAGCCUGGCAACACUAUUUUGCAAAGCAUUCUUCAGUUGCUUUGGGUGGAAUUUAAACAACUACUGUUAUGAUAUGACUAAAUUCUCUUGGAACAUAAUAUGGCCGGAGAGCAACUGCCAACAGUUCAAUAUCUGGACAACACAACUUCUCCUUGACAAUUAUGUGUGAAGGGUUACACCAUCUCUGGUUGACAAAUAAAGCCAGACCUCCUCCUUUCUUCUUGCUACUAGCUUGAGCAUCUCUGUCUGACCUUAUGAGAGUGGAGACAGGUAGAGCCACACUGGAGUCCAAGUUGUUUUGAUUCAACCAGGUUUCAGUAAAACACAGAAAACUGCACUCACGGUAUGCUUUCUCAGUUUUCACCAAGAUCUCCAGCUCAUUGCUUUUGUUGGGCAGAGGUUUGACGUUUCCCAUGAUGAUUGAUGGAAGAAAGGGUUUAUAUCGCCACCUCCUAGCAUUCAGCUUUGCCUUCACCUUUGCACCAGCACGGCAACCACGAUAACACUUCCUGAUGUCCUCUGGAAUUGUAUGUUGUCCAGAUUUGCUUUUCCUCAAUGAAAGGAGCUCUUCUCUUGAGUAAAC